GACGAACGCUGGCGGCGUGCUUAACACAUGCAAGUCGAACGGUGAACUCCGCUUGCGGGGGGAUCAGUGGCGAACGGGUGCGUAACACGUGGGCAACCUUCCCUCAGCUCUGGGAUAACUCCAAGAAAUUGGGGCUAAUACCGGAUAUGACCGCUGACCGCAUGGUCUGGUGGUGGAAAGAUUUAUCGGCUGGGGAUGGGCCCGCGGCCUAUCAGCUUGUUGGUGGGGUAGUGGCCUACCAAGGCGACGACGGGUAGCCGGCCUGAGAGGGUGACCGGCCACACUGGGACUGAGACACGGCCCAGACUCCUACGGGAGGCAGCAGUGGGGAAUAUUGCGCAAUGGGCGAAAGCCUGACGCAGCGACGCCGCGUGGGGGAUGACGGCCUUCGGGUUGUAAACCUCUUUCAGCAGGGACGAAGCGAAAGUGACGGUACCUGCAGAAGAAGCACCGGCCAACUACGUG
rnacentral:rRNA from 1 species